GACGAACCGUGCGAACGUUGUUCGGAUUCACUGGGCUUAAAGGGCGCGUAGGCGGGGCGGUCAAGGUCGGGGGUGAAAUCUUUCAGCUUAACUGGAAAAGUGCCUCCGAUACUGAUCGCCUCGAGGGAGGUAGGGGCAUGUGGAACUUCCGGUGGAGCGGUGAAAUGCGUAGAUAUCGUAAGGAAGACCAGUGGCGAAGGCGAAUCUCUGGACAGUUACUG
rnacentral:rRNA from 1 species